rnacentral:pre_miRNA from 1 species
AGCUUUCUGAAUCCGUGUAGAGAUUUUGUCAGACAUCAGCCCAUUAGGGCUGAUCAAACUUCUAAGAUUAGUGAAGUU